rnacentral:RNase_P_RNA from 2 species
CUAGUAUUAAUCUCGCACUUGGAGCAUCCACACGAGUAUCAAUGAUUACUCCCACAGUUCUGCUUCGGGAAGGUCUGAGAGGAAGCAAUUUAUGUCUCAGCAAGACAGCCUUUUGACAGGGGCGUUGUACAACUAGAAAUGCAGUGUGCGUCUUGGAUUUGGAGUUGUAGUGUCCCAAUCUGGGUUUCCCGGGGAUACUCAAGAAUGCCCGAUUUCACUACAGUUGCCGAUUCCCAAGUUGGAAAUGUACUUUGCUGGCAUUUUGAGCAAAAUCUGCGAGCUGUAUUUAUGUGCUGUUGCACAAAUGCAGAACUCAAUUCAGACUAGUCUAAUACUAG